rnacentral:rRNA from 1 species
GUGUUCCACGCUGUCGGUUCGCCGCCCGUCGGUGUUAACUGGCAUGUCUUGUGGAACGUCCUGCCGGUGGCGGUCCGGGCUCUCGGCUUGCGUAAAGACUCCACGUCUGAAGCAGGACGAAUAGUUCCGGCCGCCGGUCCAAUCCCGCCACGGUGCUCUUCACCGAGUGUCGAGGUGGGCCGGCACGUUUACUUUGAACAAAUUAGAGUGCUUAAAGCAGGCUGGUGUCCGCCUGAAUACUGUGUGCAUGGAAUAAUGGAAUAGGACCUCGGUUCUAUUUUGUUGGUUUUCGGAACCCGAGGUAAUGAUUAAUAGGGACAGGCGGGGGCAUUCGUAUUGCGACGUUAGAGGUGAAAUUCUUGGAUCGUCGCAAGACGAACCUAAGCGAAAGCAUUUGCCAAGUAUGUUCUCGUUAAUCAAGAACGAAAGUUAGAGGUUCGAAGGCGAUCAGAUACCGCCCUAGUUCUAACCAUAAACGAUGCCAGCCAGCGAUCCGCCGAAGUUCCUCCGAUGACUCGGCGGGCAGCUUCCGGGAAACCAAAGCUUUUGGGUUCCGGGGGAAGUAUGGUUGCAAAGCUGAAACUUAAAGGAAUUGACGGAAGGGCACCACCAGGAGUGGAGCCUGCGGCUUAAUUUGACUCAACACGGGAAACCUCACCAGGCCCGGACACCGGAAGGAUUGACAGAUUGAGAGCUCUUUCUUGAUUCGGUGGGUGGUGGUGCAUGGCCGUUCUUAGUUGGUGGAGCGAUUUGUCUGGUUAAUUCCGAUAACGAACGAGACUCUAGCCUGCUAACUAGGCGAUUUCCGGUACCCACAAUAGUGUUACCGGCGAUUCAAUUUCUUCUUAGAGGGACAGGCGGCUCCUAGCCGCACGAGACUGAGCAAUAACAGGUCUGUAAUGCCCUUAGAUGUCCUGGGCCGCACGCGCGCUACACUGAAGGAAUCAGCGUGUCUUCCCUGGCCGACAGGCCCGGGUAACCCGUUGAACCUCCUUCGUGCUAGGGAUUGGGGCUUGCAAUUGUUCCCCAUGAACGAGGAAUUCCCAGUAAGCGCGAGUCAUAAGCUCGCGUUGAUUACGUCCCUGCCCUUUGUACACACCGCCCGUCGCUACUACCGAUUGAAUGAUUUAGUGAGGUCUUCGGACUGGUGCGCGGCGAUCGGUUACCCCGGCCGCCGAUGUUGCCGGAAAGAUGACCAAACUUGAUCAUUUAGAGGAAGUAAAAGU